rnacentral:rRNA from 1 species
CCUACGGGAGGCAGCAGUGGGGGAUAUUGGACAAUGGGCGGAACCCUGAUCCAGCGACGCCGCGUGAGUGAAGAAGUAUUUCGGUAUGUAAAGCUCUGUCAGCAGGGAAGAAAGCAAUGACGGUACCUGACCAAGAAGCCCCGGCUAACUACGUGCAAGCAGCCGCGGUACUACGUAGGAUGCGAGCGUUAUCCGGAUUUAUUGGGUUUAAAGGGUGCGCAGGCGGAAUGUCAAGUCAGCGGUAAAAUUUCGGGGCUAAACCCGGUCGUGCCGUUGAAACUGGCGUUCUUGAGUGAGCGAGAAGUAUGCGGAAUGCGUGGUGUAGCGGUGAAAUGCAUAGAUAUCACGCAGAACUCCGAUUGCGAAGGCAGCAUACCGGCGCUCAACUGACGCUGAUGCACGAAAGCGUGGGGAUCGAACAGGAUUAGAUACCCUAGUAGUC